UAUAGCAAUGCGAGUUUGUGCGCCAAAUUUUACAUGCUGCUGCCACAAAGCGAACGUGUCUAAAGCCUGUGAAUCACGUCAGCUGCGGCGCUUCACCGGCUGCCAGCGUGAAAAUUCAAUGCCAGCAAGGAGCUUGGAGACUACCUACGAAAACGGAAUAACCAUGCACCAUGUGGGUGUGCGCACCGCCUCCAAGAAACUGCUCAUAUCAGCACCCGCUCGGAUGCUUUAUCUCUGAACCUACCUCAAGUCAGCAGAGGAUGUUCCACUACAGAAAGUAAAUUCGUCGUCCCAAAUCCUCACAAGGAAACUGGACAAAAGAGAGAUCAUUGGUUUCCAAGCUACCCACACCAAGUCGUAAGAAGCUCAAGAGUCGCCUAUCCACCACCAAAGUUUACCAGGCGGACAAAUGCAAGCCUUAUACUGAAAAGCAGUGAUAGUGUACGGCAUGUUGAAGCAGUACGAA